AUGAAGGACGUAGUAACUUGCGAUAAGCGUAGAUGAGGCAGUAACAGCCACUUGAGUCUACGAUUUCCGAAUGGGGAAACCCACUGGCAUAAGCCAGUAUCAUUGAGUGAAUACAUAGCUCAAUGAAGCGAACCGGGAGAACUGAAACAUCUAAGUACCCCGAGGAAAAGAAAUCAACCGAGAUUCCGAAAGUAGCGGCGAGCGAAAUUGGAUUAGCCCUUAAGCUUUACAUGUGUUAGACGAACGGUCUGGAAAGUCCGACGAUACAGGGUGAUAGUCCCGUAGUUGUAGAUGCAUGUUCAGUGAAAUCGAGUAGGGCGGGACACGUGUUAUCCUGUCUGAAUAUGGGGGGACCAUCCUCCAAGGCUAAAUACUCCUGACUGACCGAUAGUGAACCAGUACCGUGAGGGAAAGGCGAAAAGAACCCCUGUGAGGGGAGUGAAAUAGAACCUGAAACCGUGUACGUACAAGCAGUAGGAGCACCUUCGUGGUGUGACUGCGUACCUUUUGUAUAAUGGGUCAGCGACUUAUAUUCAGUGGCAAGGUUAACCAUCUAGGGGAGCCGUAGGGAAACCGAGUCUUAACUGGGCGCCAUAGUCUCUGGAUAUAGACCCGAAACCGAGUGAUCUAGCCAUGGGCAGGUUGAAGGUUGAGUAACAUCAACUGGAGGACCGAACCGACUAAUGUUGAAAAAUUAGCGGAUGACUUGUGGCUAGGGGUGAAAGGCCAAUCAAACUCGGAGAUAGCUGGUUCUCCCCGAAAGCUAUUUAGGUAGCGCCUCGGACGAAUACUACUGGGGGUAGAGCACUGUUAAGGCUAGGGGGUCAUCCCGACUUACCAACCCUUUGCAAACUCCGAAUACCAGUAAGUACUAUCCGGGAGACACACGGCGGGUGCUAACGUCCGUCGUGGAGAGGGAAACAACCCAGACCGCCAGCUAAGGUCCCAAAUUACAGCUAAGUGGGAAACGAUGUGGGAAGGCUUAGACAGCUAGGAUGUUGGCUUAGAAGCAGCCAUCAUUUAAAGAAAGCGUAAUAGCUCACUAGUCGAGUCGGCCUGCGCGGAAGAUGUAACGGGGCUAAGUUGUAAACCGAAGCUGCGGCAAUGUUCUUUGAACAUUGGGUAGGGGAGCGUUCUGUAAGCCGUUGAAGGUGUGUUGUAAAGCAUGCUGGAGGUAUCAGAAGUGCGAAUGCUGACAUGAGUAACGACAAGGGGGGUGAAAAACCUCCCCGCCGGAAGACCAAGGGUUCCUGUCCAACGUUAAUCGGGGCAGGGUAAGUCGACCCCUAAGGCGAGGCCGAAAGGCGUAGUCGAUGGGAAACGGGUUAAUAUUCCCGUACUUCUUACAAUUGCGAUGGGGGGACGGAGAAGGCUAGGUGGGCCUGGCGACGGUUGUCCAGGUUCAAGUGCGUAGGCU
rnacentral:rRNA from 1 species